CUUCACUGGUGUCAUCAGCAUCUGCUGUUCUCCAGCAUUACAGACAGAAGUCAGAGACUCUGUGGAGAUUUGAUCAUCAUCUUCAUUACUCUGUUGUUCCUCUACUUUGAUUUCUCCUCUCAUCUUCAUCAGGUUCUUGCAGUCCAGCAGCUUCACUGAACACAUCUUCACUGGUAUCUGCAGCAUCUGCUGUUCUCCAGCAUUACAGACAGAAGUCAGAGACUCUGUGGAGGUUUGAUCAUCACCAUUAUCUUCAUUACUCUGUUGUUCCUCUACUUUUAUCUCCUCCUGUUUCACUUCGAUCUUCACUGGUGUCUGCAGCAUCUGCU